rnacentral:tRNA from 1 species
GGAUGUGUGGCCCAGCCUGGAUUAAGGGCGCUUGCCUGCGAAGCAAGAAGCCGGGAGUUCAAAUCUCCUCACAUCCUCCA